AAGAUAAGUGUCUCUCAGUUAGCCUCAGACAACGCCUAAAAUUCCAAUUUUAAGAUCAUAUAAUAUAAACUUUAAUUUUAGUAACUAAAGUUUAAUUAGUUAAGACCCUUCAUAAAAAUGAUUUUAGGCAAGUCAUCCUUGGCUAUCAGAGCAGGCACUUUAUCU
rfam:Solanum lycopersicum cultivar Heinz 1706 chromosome 3, whole genome shotgun sequence.